GUAGCGNUGAAAUGCUUAGAUAUCACGAAGAACUCCGAUUGCGAAGGCAGCUUGCUGGACUNNAACUGACGCUGAGGCACGAAAGCGUGGGGAUCAAACAGGAUUAGAUACCCUGGUANNCCACGCCGUAAACGAUGAAUGCUAGCUGUUAGCGAUAUACUGUUAGCGGCACAGAGAAAUCGUUAAGCAUUCCACCUGGGGAGUACGCCGGCAACGGUGAAACUCAAAGGAAUUGACGGGGGCCCGCACAAGCGGAGGAACAUGUGGUUUAAUUCGAUGAUACGCGAGGAACCUUACCUGGGCUUAAAUUGCAGUGGAAUAACGUGGAAACAUGUUAGCCUUCGGGCCGCUGUGAAGGUGCUGCAUGGUUGUCGUCAGCUCGUGCCGUGAGGUGUCGGCUUAAGUGCCAUAACGAGCGCAACCCUCAUCGAUAGUUACUAACAGGUUAAGCUGAGGACUCUAUCGAGACUGCCGACGUAAGUCGUGAGGAAGGUGGGGAUGACGUCAAAUCAGCACGGCCCUUACGUCCAGGGCUACACACGUGUUACAAUGGGGGGUACAAAGGGCAGCUACCUGGCGACAGGAUGCUAAUCUCAAAAACCUCUCUCAGUUCGGAUUGGAGUCUGCAACCCGACUCCAUGAAGCUGGAUUCGCUAGUAAUCGCGCAUCAGCCACGGCGCGGUGAAUACGUUCCCGGGCCUUGUACACACCGCCCGUCAAGCCAUGGGAGCCGGGGGGACCUGAAGUAUGCAACCGUAAGGAGCGUCCUAGGGUAAAACUGGUGACUGGGGCU
rnacentral:rRNA from 1 species